rnacentral:rRNA from 1 species
CAGGAUGAACGCUAGCGGCGCGCUUAAUGCAUGCAAGUCGAGCGAUGAGACUCCUACGGGAGCACAUCAGCGGCAGACGGGUGAGUAACACGUAGAUGACGUACCCUCAAGACGGGGAUAACGGAUGGAAACAUGCGCUAAUACCGGAUGACCUUACGAUGUCAGAAUGGUAAGGAAAGCUACGGCGCUUGAGGAGCGGUCUGCGGCCCAUCAGCUAGUUGGUAGGGUAAAGGCCUACCAAGGCGAAGACGGGUAGGGGGUGUGAGAGCACGGACCCCCACAAUGGGACUGAGACACGGCCCAUACUCCUACGGGAGGCAGCAGCAGGGAAUAUUGCACAAUGGACGGAAGUCUGAUGCAGCGACGCCGCGUGAGUGAAGAAGGCCUUCGGGUUGUAAAACUCUUUUGAGGGGGAAGAGCGAGGACGGUACCCCUGGAAUAAGCGUCGGCUAACUACGUGCCAGCAGCCGCGGUAAGACGUAGGACGCGAGCGUUAUCCGGAUCCACUGGGCGUAAAGCGUCUGUAGGCGGAUGUGUAACUCGGGCGUGAAAGCUCCGGGCUUAACCCGGAGAGGCCGUUCCAUACUGCAUAACUU